GUUUUCCCCCCCCAGCCAUUUGUAGGGCAUUCUGCAGCUUUGGUUUUGCCAAUUUCUUCAGGAUUUCCAAGGGAUAUGGUGCAAUGCUGGGCAAUUUGAGGUCAGGUAACAGGUAACUUGUUUGAUCGAUCAUUAGCUAGGUGGGUUUCGGCUCUCAGUGUUGUAUUUAUGAUUUGUUGUGUUUACCCAUUGAGAGCUUGGUGUUGCUGACAUUGGGUCUUAAGAUUUUGAUGUUGUUGUGGUUACCAGAGACGAUGAAGUGGUGGGG
rnacentral:misc_RNA from 1 species